rnacentral:rRNA from 1 species
GGCAGAGAGAUCAGCUGUUCCCUUCGGGGACAGAAUGACAGGUGGUGCAUGGUUGUCGUCAGCUCGUGUCGUGAGAUGUUGGGCUAAGUCCCGCAACGAGCGCAACCCUUAUGAUCAGUUGCCAGCAUUCAGUUGGGCACUCUGGUCAGACUGCCGGUGACAAACCGGAGGAAGGCGGGGAUGACGUCAAAUCAUCAUGCCCCUUAUGACCUGGGCUACACACGUGCUACAAUGGGUGGUACAACGAGCAGCGAGACCGCGAGGUCAAGCGAAUCUCUAAAAACCAUCCUCAGUUCGGAUUGCAGGCUGCAACUCGCCUGCAUGAAGCUGGAAUCGCUAGUAAUCGCGGAUCAGCACGCCGCGGUGAAUACGUUCCCGGGUCUUGUACACACCGA